UACGGGGGGAGCAAGCGUUGUUCGGAUUUACUGGGCGUAAAGGGCGCGUAGGCGGCCACCGCAAGUCGGUUGUGAAAUCUCCGGGCUUAACCCGGAAAGGUCAAUCGAUACUGCGGGGCUAGAGUGCAGAAGGGGCAACUGGAAUUCUCGGUGUAGCGGUGAAAUGCGUAGAUGUCGAGAGGAACACCUGCGGCGAAGGCGGGUUGCUGGGCUGACACUGACGCUGAAGCGCGAAAGCUAGGGGAGCGAACAGG
rnacentral:rRNA from 1 species